AACAUGAAUUCAUUCCCAAGGCUCUGGUAGUCUGACAGCCGAUGAACUCAGCCUGGAAUUCCUGAAGGCUUGGAGCCUGCAGCUCGGGUCCCCGGGACUUGAUGUGUCCGUGUGCCGUGCGGAACCUGUUUGAUUUUCCCAGGGGAAACCCUGCCUUCUCCUGCCACUGGGCACUGGGGAAGGUGCUCCUUUCCUGCCUCCUCAGCCUUCCGACCUGUCACAAGGACUGUUACUGCUGCUGCUUCCCCCACUCACCCACCCACAGGUGGCAGCUGAGUAUCUGGGGAGGGUGGGUGAUUUGCAAUCACUUCCUGACCUUUAGGGACACCCAGAGGCACCAUCCCAGCAAAUUCCUGUGGGAGGGAGUCCCUGCUUCUCAGCCUGUGGGUGGCCCAAGUUCACAGGUGGGUUGAGGGCUGCCUGAGAAAUCCUUGAAGGCCUGCUUUGGAAAGUGGGAAUUCAGCUUGCUGCCUGUUGGCUAAACCUACAGCUCACCCACCACAGCAUCCUACAGCAUUGCAAUGAGCAGAAAGCCACCCCCACGCCCAGGACUAAAAUCCCAUAGUGGAGUUUUCCAAGCAUUUAAGGACUUGGAAUGCAAGAAACCAGCCACAGCCAGCAACUGGGCCAGUUCCUGUUGCCUUGAUGACACCGGGUCAGGACACCUGGCCCUCUCAGCCUUCUGUCCAAAUCCCUCACUGAGUACCCAGAGCUGGCUAUCCCUAGGAGGUGGGGGGAUGCAGAUAACCUCAGGAUGACCAUUCAUGUUCAAAAGCUCCUGUCCAGAAGCUUCUGGCCAGUAUUUAUACCUGGGAACCAGGAAGUGACUGCAGGAACCAAGCAGGAGCCAAGCAGGAACCAGCCCAGAGCGAGUGGGCUGGCCAUGCAUCACUUGUCCAGAGGCAGCUUCAGGACCCACUAUGGGAGCACAGGCUGCAUGGGCGCAGCCCUCGGGUGCUGAUACAGGGCCUGGCUUGGACCCUCCUUCGCCUCGGACUCAGGUGCUAUUCAUUUCCCCUCCCUGGGAGCCAUCAUCAGAACAAAGAGGCCAGACGGAGAGCAAGACCCAGGUCUCAGGAGGCCAGAAGCCACAGGUGUCACUGCGGCUGCAGGAAGAUGAGCAGAGGCUCCACAACCUGCUGGCAUUCUCAAAGCUGCUGGCACUUGGCCUUGACUCUUCAGGACCCUUCUCCUGGGUCAGUGUCUCACUCUCACCGUGGAGCUCUGCUCUUCCUGCUCCUGGCUCCACAUCCAGCUCAGCCCCUGCCCCGCCCCCUCCAGGGAGACCCGGAGAGGAGACUGAGAGCCUGCUUCAGCAUGGGGAUACCUCAGUGCCCAGCCUGCCACUCCUGACCUACAUAUGCCAGCUGUGGGGCCCCUCUGACUGCUUUUUUCAAGGACAUUGGGUCCCAGAUGCCUCCAGGAUGCUGAACUGUUCAAUGAGUGACUUGCUCCCCCCCCCCAAUUAAAAUAGAGAAGAAGAAAGAAAUCCAGGCCUUGUUCCCAGCUACAGCUGGUGCCAACCAAAACCCCGCAGGAAGAAAAUGGAGCAGGAGCCUGCUGCCCAGGGGCCUGGCUGCUGACACAGGCCCUUUCUAUUCUGCUGUCCGCUACAGCCCCUCAAUGGACACCCUUCACCUGUCUUCUUGGCCCCAGUGUAAAUAAUCUCCCAUUAACCUCACAAACUUGGGUAAAUCCAGGUCCCACCACUGCCCUACCAUGUUUUCCUUCCUCACCCACCCAUUGCCUGAAAUGAGCUAGGCUCCUUCCCUGCCAGCCUAGUGCCUACCCUACCAGAUGAGGACUGCAGUGCCUGUCUGGGGAAGUUGCACGAGUGCCUUCUCCAUGGAGCCAUAGGGGAGACCCUGCUUUGCUUCCAAGAUGGACCUAGGAUGAUGUUCCACCCUGUGCUGGGUGCCAGCCUUUCACUCACACAUGGAGGCCAUCACAGUGGGGUCUGUGGGCAUGAUGAACAGCUAGUUCUACAGAGGUGAAAGUACAGUACUUUAAAGUCACCCAGAGACAAAAGUGGUUUAAAAGUUGCCCAGUUUAUUCUCUGCCUGUGAUCUUAGAAGAAAAGUGUUCCCCAAAGUCUCCUAUGCCGUCUUUCUUUUGGUUUUGGUUUUUUAGACAGUGUCUCACUUUGUAGUUCAGGUUGGCCUUGAACUCACUACAUAGCCCAGGCUGGACUCGAACUCAUGGUAAUCCUCCUGCCUCCGCCUGCCAAAUGCUGGGAUUACAGGCCUAUGCCACCAUGCCUGGCUCCCAUGCCAUCUUAUUGCAUCCUGCCCUCUGGGAACUCUGUCUACCCAUGGAGCCCAGCUUCCCAAGGCGUGAGCUGGUCUGAUCCAGAUUUCUCCAGACAGCCCUAAGGGAGCCACAUCCUGCCCACUGGCUGGUGUCCACCAGGAACCCUUGAGUCAGGCUGGCCACCACAGACAGCUUUCUAAGCUCUCUCCUCCCUCCUAUGGGCAAAACACUUCAGACAGUAUAAAAAAAAAAAAGUACUUCAUGUCACAUGUGAAUGCCACAGCAGCCUCAGGAGGAUGCAGAUUUGCAGAUUGCAUAGCUCACUUUGGGCUUCAAAAGGCCUAGCACUCUGGCUAAGGUCACAUGGGCACUGGACAGAGUUGUCAUUUGAACCCUGGUCUCUUGAUUCCAUGCCACUAAGGAAUGGGGAUGCAGGUGGCAAUGACCUCAGAACAUGGCAUUCUCAGCACUGGGAUGCUACCAGAAGACAAAAAUCUCAGACACUGAUUCAUUGAUUCAAUCAACAAAUAUUUAUUAAACACUAGCUGUGUGCUGGGCCCGAACCUCGGCACUGGGUGUCCAACUGUGAAGCAGUAGAUCUGGUUCAUGCUGCCCCACACCUGUGUUAGGUGUUGGAGACAGACACUGAAACAGACCUUGUGUGGAAAGACCUCCCCUCCCACCGCGUAGCCAGCAUCCUAGCAAAGCCCAGGGCCAAAGGGCAGGAGAUAGGGCUCUGGUCCCAGUGUUGCCCCUAACUGGCCAUGUGACAUCGAACAAGGUUUCCCACCUCUGAAAUCUGUAUGCCAGUGCCUCCCCAUAUGUUUUCUGGGGUUCCUGCCCAACUCCCACCUUCUGGGUCAAGUGGUUAAUGAUUUCCUGACAUGAAUAAUUACUCUGAUUUGGUGUUUUCUGAAACCCAACUUUUCGUAGGCACUUGGAGCCAGAAAGGGGCUUCUGAGUCCCCUGACCUGAGCCUCUCACUAAGUAGGAACCCCUUAGCCUCAGUGCUCCUUGGAAGUGACGGGUAUUGCUUGUCCACUUCCGGAGAUGGGGCACUCACUGCCCCCACACACUGCAGAGCUCUCUGCACAGUGGUGUGCUGGUAAAUGUUUAACAUCUGGCUCUCCAAAGGGGGGAAAACCUGGUUUGUAGUAUUUGCUCAUUUCCAUCGUGUAAACACUCCCACCACAGCCCCAUUUCAAGCGGCCAGUCUAACAUCAACCUCACACUUUCUGAAAAAUUGAGUCAGCUCUUAGGAGCUGGUCCAAGCAGGCUACAACCCACCAAUGCCCCGGCCUACAGAGAAGUCUCAUCCAGCUUUACUUGCUGGAAAGUUCCUGCUGAUAUCAAGCGUGACACCUGAUUGGUCAGGCACUCGGGUCUGAAGGGAGAUUGACCUCUGAAGGCCUUUGGAGAUCUCCUUGUGACGGGGAGGGGGAUGGGGGUGGUGGUCCUGGGGCCAGUGGACACUGGGGAGACCCACCCUCCUGCUCGGCCUUUCUACCGCCUUUCCUCUUUUCUUCUGCUUCUCUCCUAAGUACUUGUUGGCUUCUGCGACACUAUAGAUACUAUGGCAACAGGGACCAAAUCUCGGCUCCCAGCCCCCUGCCUCCCUGCCUGUACCUUCCAGGCUGGAAUCAGAAGCCACCCCUCCCCAAGCCUGACCUGACCUGUACCCCUUCCCUUCCUGCAG
rnacentral:lncRNA from 1 species